rnacentral:lncRNA from 1 species
CCUUUCUUUGGUUACGUAGACCUAAAAGUUAUUUAAAAAGGGUUUGUUUACUUUUCUUUCCAAAAACAAAAUCACUUUUUGGGUGACUUGGUACAUCCUAACUCUAUACCAAGUGGCGACUCCUUUUCUAUCUAAAACCCUUUGUUUGGCCAAACCGUCGCAUUUCACAAUCCCACAGCCUUUUAUUUUCACUUUCACACACAUUCACAUACAUAUCCUACACACUACUUUCACACCAUCAAAAAGUGGGGCGCGACAGCUUGGCGACUCCACUGGGAAAAUCCUAAGUGGGUCCAAGCAUUUGAUUUAGCCAUUCUUUUCCGUUUUCUACCCUUGUUAUGCGUAGCAUUUGGAUAUUAGGGUUGCAUUUUUCAUUUUAGGACCUUUUGCCUCGCGUGCGUAUCAAACUACUCCCUCAAUCACGUAUGUAUGAUUGGUUGCUUGGAUGUAUGUUUUACUUGUUUUAUCUCGCGCUUUGCAUUGCAUUUGGGUGGGGGGAUAUUACCCUAGAGUCUCGUGUUGGUUCUCAAUCCCUCCCCUCCAAACGAGCACUAGCAUACGUGUAUACGCUUUAUUAUUUAUCCCUCCUUUAUUUUUUUCUUUUAGUGGCUUGUCACGCCACUCCACCCUAUUAGGAUUAGGCGACCCACUUGGACGUGUGAUCACGACACGAUGUGUGUGUAGUAUGAUCCGAUGGAUCACUCGACCUUCCGCUUUAAGCUUUGGGUUGAUAGCCUUUAGCUUUUAGUCGAAGGUUGAGGAUUUUUGAUAGAUUCACUCAAACACGUAGCCGUGACACGAUGUGUGCGUAGCGGUGUUUGGGGAAUCGCUUGAGCCACCGACAAAGAACCUUGGGAUUGAUGACCCUUGGUUUCCAAGUCUGAAGGCUCGGGGACCUAUGACCUAUCGAGUCUAGAUGCAUUAGUAAGCCAAGCCUCAUGCAUCCAUAUUAGAAUUGCCUUAGGGUAGAGUCUGCCUUAUCCUAUUAGGGACACUAUUCACGAGGGGAGGGAUCCAACCUUUCUUUUCCUUUUGUUGCUUUAUCUUCUUAUUGCUUUGCUACAAUGUGUUAUGUGUAUUUAUCGAUUGAACUAAUUUUUCUUGGUUUUUGUCUCCAAUUGCAUUCAUAAGCCCUAGAAAAUAAGAGUUCUGGUAUGGUACUUUCUAGGAACUUACCCUAUUUGAUACGUUUAAAUUCAAUGCUUCGCAUGAAUACACUUCAUUUUAGGCUCACCCCCGGCAUACAAAAAGGGGUUCCUUUAGAACACGUUUCAUUUGUGUAUUGCAUGUUUACUGGCUUUGAUAAACUGGCAUCAUGCAUAAACCCUAGAAAGGGAAUGCCAUUUAGGAGAUCCCGUGUUAGGAAUAAACCACCUCGUGUCUCGGAUACUUAAUCCAAGGAGACUUGCACGUUUAUAUUUGGUACCAUCCAAAGGGGUAGUGCACAAGGUAAGGUAGGAUCCGAUCUUUUCGAAAAUGGCAAAGCAAUUUUUGCACAUUGGAAUAUGAGCGUCUAAUAAUCACUUUUGGCCAUUUUGUCAACAUUGGUAAAAAUCCCUUGCGUAAAGGACAUUAAUUCGAAGAAAUUCACAAAUAAUUCCUCACUAUUGAGAUGAUAAGUGAAUUGAGGCCAAAAUCUGCUUUUAGAAGGCUCAUAGACCAAUGCAUCACAAUAAAUUUUUGAAACUACCAGUUGAUAGAUUGCUUUUUAAAUAAGCUGUUAAUUUCAUUCAAUCCAUUGGACCAUUUCAUUCAUCAAUUUCAUUCAGUCUAUUUUAUCAACUUGCUCAUUUUUAAGGCAACCUAGUCGAUUUGGAAUUCAUUUGACUAGUUUACCCUUUUUUAGGGCAAUCUAGUUGAUUUUGAAUAGAUCACCAACUUCAUUCAAUUCAUUUGAUCGGUUUACCCAUUCUUAGGGCAGUCUUAUCGAUUUUGAAUAAAUUAUCAAUUUCGUCCGAUCCAUUUGACCAGUUUACCUAUUUUUAGGGCAAUUCGGUCGAUUUUGAAUAAAUCAUCAUUUCACUCGAUUUGUUUGAUCAAUUGAUUUCAUUCAUUUGGUUAGUUUAAUUCAUUUUUAGGGUUAUCCAUUCAAUUUUCAAUAAAUUUUCAAAUUUCAUUCAAUGAAUUUCACCAUUUUACCCCUUUUGGCACAUUAUACGUCGUCCAAAGCAAGCAAUACAUUCGGACUUUGUCCUCAUUUUUUUAAGACAAAUGUCUCUUAUCACUCCAAUUGGCCAAUUUUUUCAAAUCAUUUUUUUCACUCAAUCAGUUGAUCGGAUUCAUCAGGUAAUGUAUGGUGCCUACCCUAGAGGAUUGCAUUUUCAUGCUAGGCCUACCCUUGGCAUAAAAAGGGCUCCCCCAUAGGACAUGCAUACCGAUUUUAUAGUCUUGCUUACUAACUCAGGGUGUUUUUCUUUUAUUUUUCCCCCUUCCCCUGCAUUCAUAAAAAUGUUUCAAUGAAGUGAAAAUAUUUUUCCAUAUCUGAUAACAAUUUUGAUCCGAUAAAGUUCAAAAAAGUAUUACUUGAUUCUUGGACAGAUUCUACAAUGUAAAGCAUGAAGGAUCUAUUUGGAAGCGUCUAAGAAACUUCAUAAUUGUUAGUCAAAGAAAGUUUUGUUC